rnacentral:pre_miRNA from 1 species
GGCCCAAAUUAGAAGUUGAGUGGAUUAGAAGGAUCAUAUGACUCUUCUAGACUAUUCUACUUUGAGUUUGUGCCC